GACGAACGCUGGCGGCGUGCUUAACACAUGCAAGUCGAACGGAAAGGCCUUGCUUUUGUGGGGUGCUCGAGUGGCGAACGGGUGAGUAACACGUGUGUACCCUGCCCUUCACUUUGGUAUACCUUCAGGAAUCUGGGUCUAAUCCCGGAUAGGCGCUCCUGCUGCAUGGUGUGGGUUGGAAAGUUUCGGCGGUUGGGGAUGGACUCACGGCUUAUCAGCUUGUUGGUGGGGUGGUGGCUUACCAAGGCUUUGACGGGUAGCCGGCCUGAGAGGGUGACCGGCCACACUGGGACUGAGAUACGGCCCAGACUCCUACGGGAGGCAGCAGUGGGGAAUAUUGCACAAUGGGCGGAAGCCUGAUGCAGCAACGCCGCGUGAGGGAUGACGGCCUUCGGGUUGUAAACCGCUUUCGGCUGUGAAGAAGAGUGAGUGACGGUAAUGGGUAAAGAAGCACCGGCUAACUACGUG
rnacentral:rRNA from 1 species